GUCAGGAUGGCCGAGCGGUCUAAGGCGCCAGACUCAAGGUUUCCUUGCUCACAUUUGUGAGUCUCGAGCGUUCUGGUCCUCUUUGAGGGCGUGGGUUCGAAUCCCACUUCUGACA
rfam:Dendroctonus ponderosae Seq01012909, whole genome shotgun sequence.